CUCAGAGAGAUUGGUCUACCUCUUAAUCAUUGUCCUAAGAUUAAAGGACACCUGGUGGAUCCAACUCCCGUGGUUCCAGUUCACCAAAUGAAUGCAAAGAUAAGGUGGACUCAGUCUCCUUGACUUCAAGAAGUGGAACUGGUUCAUUCAACAAACACUCUUGACAUUGAUGUCAGUGACAAGAGUGAAAUUUCCUUCAGUCAAGUCAUAUUCACUGCAUUUUCUAUGCCUGUUCUUCCAUGGACACAAGAGGAAUUACCAUUAUCAUUUAAAACUUAGAUUUAAUUAAACAACUCAUUUGUUGUGUGUUGUCAUGUGGCUGCCAUGGUGAUUACAGAAAUCAGAGAACAUCUUGUAGGAUUUGGAUCCCUUCUCCCACCAUGUAUGUUCUAGGGACUGGACUCCAUGGACCUAUCUUGCCAGUCCAAGAUAUAUACACACACAUAUUUUUCCCAGUGCUGGGGAUAGAACAUAGUACCUUGGGAACACCAGGCAAAAACUGUAACACUGAGCUACACUCUAACAAGCACUUUGUGACUUCUAUUAAUAAUGCUAAGCAGGAUAUUGUUACUUGGAUAUUUGUUUGAAUUCUUGAUAAAACUCUGUCAUGAUUUUUUAAAAUAAUGUUAUUUAAAAUAAAAAAAUCUCAAAUAUAUGUAUAAUUUAUUUUGA